CUCAGCUCGCCUGCACCCAGGUGAAAUAAACAGCUUUAUUGCUCACACAAAGCCUGUUUGGUGGUCUCUUCAGACGGACGUGCAUGAAAUUUGGUGCCGUGACUCGGAUCGGGGGACCUCCCUUGGGAGAUCAAUCCCCUGUCCUCCUGCUCUGUGCUCCGUGAGAAAGAUCCACCUACGACCUCAGGUCCUCAGACCGACCAGCCCAAUAAACAUCUCACCAAUUUCAAAUCCGGUAAGCGGCCUCUUUUUACUCUCUUCUCCAACCUCCCUCACUAUCCCUCAACCUCUUUCUCCUUUCAAUCUUGGCACCACACUUCAAUCUCUCCCUUCUCUUAAUUUCAAUUCAUUUCAUUUUCUGGUAGAGACAAAAGAGACAUGUUUUAUCCAUGAACCCAAAACUCCAGCGCCAGUCCCGGACUGGGAAGGCAGGCUUCCCUUGGUGUUUAAUCAUUGCAGGGACACCUCUCUGAUUACACACUCACGUUUCAAGGGUGUCAGACCACGCAGGGACACCUGCCUUGGUCCUUCACCCUUAGCGGCAAGUCCUGCUUUCCUAGGGGGCAAGAAGCCCCCAAUCGCUUAUUUCCGCACCCCAACCUCUUAUCUCUGUGCCCCAAUCCCUUAUUUCUGCACCCUGACCUCUUAUCUCUGUGCCCCAAUCCCUUAUUUCCGUGCCCCCACCCCUUCUCUGCUUUUCUGGAGGGCAAGAACCCCCCACCCCUUCUCUGUGUCUCUACUCUUUUCUCUGGGCUUGCCUCCUUCACUACGGGUAACCUUCCACCCUCCAUUCGUCCUUCUACUCCCUUGGCCUGUGUUCUCAAAAACUUAAAACCUCUUAAACUCACACCUGACCUAAAACCUAAAUGCCUUAUUUUCUUCUGCAAUGCCGCUUGACCCCAAUACAAACUCGACAGUAGUUCCAAAUAGCCAGAAAAUGGCACUUUGAAUUUUUCCAUCCUGCAAGAUCUAAAUAAUUCUUGUCGUAAAAUAGGCAAAUGGUCUGAGGUGCCUGAUGUCCAGGCAUUCUUUUACACAUCGGUCCCUUCCUAGUCUCUGUGCCCAGUGCAACUCGUCCAAAAUCUUCCUUCUUUCCCUCCCGCCUGUCCCCUCAGUACCAACCCCAAGCGUCACUGAGUCUUUCUAAUCUUCCUUUUCUACAGACCCAUCUGACCUCUCCCUUCCUCCCCAGGCUGCUCCUCGCCAGGCCGAGCUAGGUCCCAAUUCUUCCUCAGCCUCCGCUCCUCCACCCUAUAAUCUUUUUAUCGCCUCCCCUCCUCACAGCUGGUCCGGCUUACAGUUUCGUUCCGUGACUAGCCUUCCCCCUCCUGCCCAGCAAUUUACUCUUAAACAGGUGGCUGGGGCUAAAAGCAUAGUCAAGGUUAAUGCUCCUUUUUCUUUAUCCCAAAUCGGAUAGCGUUUAGGCUCUUUUUCAUCAAAUAUAAAAAUCCAGCCCAGUUCAUGGCUCAUUUGGCAGCAACCCUGAGACUCUUUACAGCCCUAGACCCUAAAAACUCAAAAGGCCGUCUUAUUCUCAAUAUACAUUUUAUUACCCAAUCUGCUCCCGACAUUAAAUAAAACUCCAAAAAUUAAAUUCCGGCCCUCAAACCCCACAACAGGAUUUAAUUCACCUCGCCUUCAAGGUGUACAAUAAUAGAAAAAAGUUGCAAUUCCUUGCCUCCACUGUGAGACAAACCCCAGCCACAUCUCCAGCACACAAGAACUUCCAAACGACUGAACCGCAGCAGCCAGGCGUUCCUCCAGAACCUCCUCCCACAGGAGCUUGCUACACGUGCCGGAAAUCUGGCCACUGGGCCAAGGAAUGCCCGCAGCCUGGGAUUCCUCCUAAGCCACGUCCCAUCUGUGUGGGACCCCACUGAAAAUCUGACUGUUCAACUCACCUGGCAGCCACUCCCAGAGCCCCUGGAACUCUGGCCCAAGGCUCUCUGACUGACUCCUUCCCAGAUCUUGGCUUAGCAGCUGAAGACUGACACUGCCCGAUCGCCUCGGAAGCCCCCGAGACCAUCACGGACGCCGAGCUGCCAGUAACUCUCACAGUGGAAGCAGCUGCAGCAAGGACAGCUCUCUACCCAAUACCAGCUCUCAUGAGCCCAGAUAUUGAUCUCUAAUCCUCUCCUCCCCUGGAAGAGAUCAGGACUUCCUGAUGGGUAUUUAUCUCAUAAUUCAUAAUUACAUAAUUCAUGUAAAAAUUUAAGAUGUUUCCAGAAAAUCUGGAGCUUCCACCCUUUAAGACUAUUACUGGAAGAGCUGAAAGUAGACAGCCAAAUUUGGACAAUUUGAGGAAACAUCAAAAUAAUAAUAGUUAAUGGCAUAUUAACUUAUAUUAAUUAAAUUGAUGAGGCAUGAUCUCAUAAUGACAAAAGAGAACUAUUGAUUUAAAAACGUAAAGAGAUACCUGACAUGGUGGCUCACACCUGUAAUCUCAGGACUUUGAGGUCAGGAAUUCGAGACCAGCCUGGCCAACAUGGUGAAACCCUGUCUGUACUAAAAUACAAAAAAAAAAAAAAAAUUAGCUGGUCAUGGUAGCGGGUGCCUGUAAUCCCAGCUACUCAGGAGUCUGAGGCAGGAGAAUCACUUGAACCUGGGAGGCAGAGGUUGCAGUGGGCUAUCGUACCACUGCACUCCAGCUUGGGUGACAGAGUAAGACUCUAUCUUAAAAAAAAAAAGAAAAGAAAAGAAAAGAAAAAGGAAAUAGAUAAUUAUAAUAAAAAAGAUGAGUAUGAUAGACAUUUUUAAUUCAUUAUUGAUUUUAGUAAGUUAUAGAGUUAUUUGUGCAUGUGCGUUUUUGGUUGCAUCUAGUUAGUAUAUGUCUGUGUGUAAGGAAUUUAUUUGUACUAGUUUCUAUGUGAGCAAGAAUAAGCAAUGACUGAGAACUGUCAAUUAACCAGGUAGCCCUGGGAAACAAACACCCAGCCAGAACAUUUAGAUCAGAGCAAAGAGUGGUACCAGUAAGGGUGCUUCACAAGAACCCAUCUCAGUGGUCUCGUCCAGUAACCAAAUGGGUUUCACCAGUAAAUUCCAAAGGUAGAAUUAACUACAACCCUCUAAGUCAGUGCCAUCCAAAGAAAGACACUCUAAGCCACCUGUGCAAUUUAAAACUUUCUAAUGACCCAAUUUUUAAAAAAUAAAGUAAAAUUAAUCAAGUAAAAUUAAUUUUUACAAGCUAUUUCAUUUGUCCCAAUAUAUUCAAUGUAAUAGCAUUUUCAAUUGUGGCACUAGACACAUUUUCAAAAGCUCAGUUGUCAUAUGUGGCUGUUCUGCAAAGAACUAUUUAAUCAGACUCACUCUUACUCUCCCAAGAGAUGAUAAAUCUUUAUAGCUGCGCUAAUUAAGAAAACACUGAUGUUUAGUAGUUACAUGAACCAGGGUGAUCUGUUUCGAUGGUAGGCUCUGUGUGGGGCAUGGUAAGGCAUGAGAACAUAGAGAUCACUUGUCUCCACAGAUUAAAAAGCAGAAGACACGCAGGACCAAGAGAGCCUGAUGGUGUAAGAAGUGAAACCAUGUCAUAAACAUGGCUACUCCACUGGCCCGAGAGGCCCAGCCUCGCCAUGGACUGCACACCUGCUAGGGGAAAUGCUCUGAGAUAGUCCUGCUUUUUUUUUCAGGGAGUGGGAAUAGUAGUCAUAAGAAUAUUGAAAACCUAGAAAGGCUUGAGAAAAAGCCCACAGGAAGGAGCAUUAGCAAUAACAGUAAAGAAGAGACAGAAGAAAAAUGUUUUAAAAAAUUAAAUGCACUCUUAUAAACAUACAGUGGUAAGAAUUCUUCUCUACCUAUUGUGUCCAGAAUUGGUUCCUUCCGGUGGAUUCGUGGUCUUGCUGACUUCAAGAAUGGAGCUGCGGACUUUUGCCACUAUAGACAGGCUUUUCCCAAAGACUUGAAAAGAAGGGACAUCAGAUGAGCCUCUUAAAGUCCCUAAAGAUCAGGCAAGGUGAAGAAAGAACCUCGAGAGCGCCUUGAAGACAGACAGACCGGCAGGCUGAGCUGCUAACUGGUCGCCCACACCAGAUUACCGUAAGAGUAUGUGUGUCAGUCAAGUGUCUGGCCAGGUUUGGAAGCCAGGAAAAAGUGAGAGACAGCAGCAAACAGCUCCAUCACUUGGUUAGACCCCACUCCCCGAGCAGCAGUGGCAAGGAAAGCCAGCCUGGAAUGCAGUGGCUGCAGCUGUCCCCUCGGCCUGAGGCCCUUGGACACUGGGCCUGUGCAACUAACUACUCCCACUCUGAGCCCAUGUUCCGCGGGCAGCCCCCGACAUCUGUGCAGAUGGAGGACUGGGGUCACCCUGCAGCUAUACCAGCCAGCCUGCUGAGAAGAUUCUGCAUCUCCUAAGAUGUCGCUUGCUAUUCUGACAUCAUAUCUUGGUCUCUUUUGUUUAAUUAUGACAAAGCAUUCUCUGCAAAAUGCCGCUGUUCUCAUCAUCCUGGUCCAAGCCAAGUUCUGAAUCUGAGAGCGGGACACCAGCCCGAAGCCAAAGGUGAGCUCUUCACAUGGGAAAACCAGCCUGGGUUCCUGGAUUCUUCUCAGAAGAGAACUAAGACUAUUAGAAAAUAGAAUUCUGCAAUACUUUGUUUUCACAGGUGUAGAAAAAUUAUAUUCGAUUUUUACCCUUGGCCUGUUUUAUUAUAAUGACCUCUCUUUUUCCUGCCUUUCAAUCCAGCUGAGACAAUGUAUGCAUGUUUACAUCAUGUGUGUAUAUACAUCUACUUGCACAUAGAUGUAUAUAGUUAUAUAUGUUUAAUGUAUAUAUGAAUAAAAUGUGCAUACAGCAGACUUAGGGACUUCUCUGGAGGGAGGAAUAAAGGUUGUAAAGUAGAAGAAUAUCUACCAAUCCAGUUGCAUAUGGAUUUCUUUGAAUCACUGACCAUUUCAGUCAAACUCUCCACAUUUUGCAGGGAAGUCUUUCACCUGCGCAGUCCCUAAUGCCUGUUUCAUACCUGGGAGAGUUUUUGUUAUACCAUUUGAAGACAGUUGGAUUACAGAUCCAACUCCAAUCUCCUGUCCUGUCACAGUGUCCCUGUGUGAUGCUCUUUUUUGACCCACACACUGUAUAGGUCCUAGACUUCCCAUAUGGUAUCAGUGGACAAUUAAGGAGACUUCACCACUAGCUACUUCUGUCUGCUCAAUAUGCUCUUUCUGAAUAACGGUGAAAAAAAUCUAUUCACAGUUCAGCCAAACAUGCUUUCUUUAUGUUACGCAGCAUAUGGGGCAAUUUGUCAAGGUAAUAGUAAGUCUCUUGGAAGGCUAGAAGGCUGCAAUUCAUUAUCUGAAAAACAAAACCUCAACCAUGCUUUAUGCCAGUGGAGAUGAAAUCCUCUCAAUAUCAGAAACCAACGAUUGCUAAGGAAACAGGGGAAGAAAGGGUCUCCCUCUAUUCCAAUAAGGAAGCCAUUGCCUGACCAGAUCCCCUUUUCCCUAUUUUCAUCUCAUAAUUGGAAAUGAAUAUGUCAGAGAAUAUAUGCCACCUCACCCAGAUGGAAUGUCUAGGCUAAAUUUCCAUGCAAAGACUUUUGUGCUUUUAUUUUCCAAAAUUCCUUUACAGAAUCUUGGUUCCACGAAAAUACAAGAUUUUAAAAGCCAAUAAUAGCUUUUUAAGGAAGAGAGAUAAAAAAGGUAGGAAUCUAAACCAGCAUAACUCAAAAGUCCUCGUUCCCCUUAUAAGUUUUCCAUUGCCUGAAUUUUCAAGCAGCAGAUGACUAUAAAUCCUGUAAGGAAUAAAUUGUUGCAUAUGUUGAUCUAUUUACUUAAAAGUUGGGCAAACAGUAGCUAGACAGGCAAUGUAGUUAAGUGCAUAGACUCUGGGAUUAGACUGCCUGGAGUCCAGUCUCAUUAGGCAGUCACUUGCUGUUUGACCUUGGGUAAAUCACACCUUCUGUGCUCCAGCUUCCGUAUAAAAAUUGUAAAAAGCAAUUAAAAUGGUAUCUGUCUCAACAAUUGUAGUGAGAAUCUAAUACAUUUAUACAUGUGUCCAUUUAUAAUAGGAUGGUUUUAGAGUAAAAAAGCUUUAGAAUCAUGGACAAGUAAAGAGAUGGACUAGUAGUUUGAGGCCCCAACCAAGUCUAGAAACGUAAAUUUUUAGUAGAGUUGUAGAAUUUUCUCUCGGGAUUAACUGCCAUGAAGCAACAGAUGAUAGCGCUGGUAUGAAAUCAGGAUUCGUAGAAUUGAGCACAGUACAGAAAUAAGGUGCUGAGGGAGUUAAGGAUUCUGGGAACAGUCAGGUCCAGUGUUAAACUAAUGGGAUCAGGGCAGGAAGGAAAUGUGGCUGCCCAGGGCCUUCUGAACAAAAGGACAGGGAGAAUAAGUGAGCUUAAGGUUGGAAAACUGAGGGUUUGUAUUCUAGGAGAGGCACUGGAGUUUAAUAGUUCAGGAAAUGGAAUGGUUUGAUGAGAUGCUCCAGAAUUCUUAGGGAGUAGUUGGCAACUCCAAAGUAAAGGUGAAGAUUUGUGCUUUAAAUCAAUAGACUGUAAUUCAGAAAAAGACAGAAUUCAAGGUCCCAAACAGUAUUUUUUAAGUAAACAGAUCUAAUUUGUUUGUUUGCUUCAUUUUUUGAGGUAGAAAAGUAUAGAAGAUUCAAGUAAUCUUCCUUUUGAUCUAAGAAUAGUGGUAAUAUAAUUAUGUGAUAAAUAAAAGAAGGAAAUCAAAAUACUCCAGUUUUAUAACAUAAAUAUAACUACAGCAUGCAUUUUCAAUAGAGGCAAUAUCACUCCUUAGGAGGUAAAAAUUCCGGAAGCAAAAAAAUUAUUAGAUAUGAUAUUUAUUUGUGGCUCUCCAAAGCUCAACCUUACCCAACAAAACCUUAUUUUCUCUGGCAGGGUGUGGUGGCUCACACCUGUAAUCCCAGCACUUUGGGAGGCCGAGGCAGGUGGAUCACUUGAGAUCAGGAGUUGGAGACCAGCCUGACCAACUUAGUGAAACCCCGUCUCUACUAAAAAUACAAAAAUUAGCUGGGCGUGGUUGUGGGCACCUGUAAUCCCAGCUACUCAGGAGACUAAGGCAGGAGAACCAACCUUAUUCUCUAGUAUUUAAUUUCUCCUAUUGAGUUUUCUUAGAUAUCACAAAAGCAGCAUGGACACUGAGUUCCUGGCAGAGACCCAAAACGUAUCCAAGGUCAUGUUACAAAAAUGUGGCAAAUGGCCAUGAGUAGGGGGCUUCUUCUCCAUCCCUUGCUCCAUUUCAAAGUCACAUGGGGAGAGCUGGCCUGUGCUGUUGGCUGCCCUGGUCACCUUGUAAGCAUUGCUUCUCACAUGAUCUCAGUGAUUUUAUGUGUGACUUAGGCUUUGGGAAUUAAAUGUAAUUGUUUGUAUUUUAUCAUUUAAUUAUAAAAAUGUUAUUCAACUCAUUGUU
rnacentral:lncRNA from 1 species